rnacentral:rRNA from 1 species
GACGAACGCUGGCGGCGUGCUUAACACAUGCAAGUCGAACGGAAAGGCCUCUUUCGGGGGGUACUCGAGUGGCGAACGGGUGAGUAACACGUGAGUAACCUGCCCUUGACUUUGGGUUAAAUUCAGGCAACAGGGGCUAGUACCGGAUAGGAGCUCCUGCUGCCUGGAGGGGGCUGGAAAGUUUCGGCGGUUUGGUAUUGACUAGCGGCUUAUCAGCUUGUCGGUGGGGUAGUGGCUUACCAAGGCGUUGACGGGUAGCCGGCCAGAGAGGGUGAUCGGCCGCAUUGAGACUGAGGUGCGGCACAGGCUGCUACGGGAGGCAGCAGUGGGGAAGAUUGCACAAUGGGUGGAAGCCUGAUGCAGCAACGCCGCGUGCGGGAUGACGCUCUUCUGGUGGAAAACCGAUUGUGCACAUGACGAAGCUUUGUGUGACGGUAGUUGGUAAAGAAGCACCGGCUAACUACGUG